rnacentral:rRNA from 1 species
GUGGGGAAUUUUGGACAAUGGGGGCAACCCUGGUCCAGCCAUGCCGCGUGCGGGAAGAAGGCCUUCGGGUUGUAAACCGCUUUUGUCAGGGAAGAAACGCUCUGGGCUAAUACCCCGGGGUAAUGACGGUACCUGAAGAAUAAGCACCGGCUAACUACGUGCCAGCAGCCGCGGUAAUACGUAGGGUGCAAGCGUUAAUCGGAAUUACUGGGCGUAAAGCGUGCGCAGGCGGUUGUACAAGACAGAUGUGAAAUCCCCGGGCUCAACCUGGGAACUGCAUUUGUGACUGUACGGCUGGAGUGCGGCAGAGGGGGAUGGAAUUCCGCGUGUAGCAGUGAAAUGCGUAGAGAUGUGGAGGAACACCGAUGGCGAAGGCAGCCCCCUGGGUCAAGAUUGACGCUCAUGCACGAAAGCGUGGGGAGCAAAC